CAUCAAACAGGUUUGGAUCAUCCUUGUCCUGAGAUAUUUAUGUAAUGAUAAUGGUAGUAAAAAUUGCAAACUCAUAUUUUUCAUUUAUGCUUGUAGGUAUUGGGACUACUGUUAAUGCUGUCAAACCAAAACUUGGUUCUUCUGCUGCCAUCUUUGGACUUGGAGCUGUUGGCCUUCUUGCUGUUGAAGAGGCAAUGAUUUAUACUGCAUGAAUAAUUAUUGGGUUUGAUUUAGUUUCCAUUGGAAAAUCUUGGACUCAGUUGUUGAAGGUCUUGGGACUACUGUUAAUGCUACC